GGUAAAUAUCUACUAUUUCUAUGAGCUUCUGCUCAGGUUUCAGCUCCCGGAUGGACAGACUCGGUGCCCCAUCUAGCGUCCACAUGACCGAACAACCACGCCAGAGACCGGAACUUCCCCAAAUGCUGAGGCAAUCUCCCAAGCAAACAUCUCGCCCGGAAAACUGCCCCGCUCCUGCUCAAGGCUCGGCUUCGGUGAAGUAUCAGACUGAGAAAACCAGCCCUCUGUGAUGCAGUUAAUAGGUUCUGAGAGCUGUUAUCUCCUUUUCUCCCGACCUGUGCAAAUCCACCCUUCCUUGGUUGGAAAUACCUGUAACACAGCAUGGAGUAACCAUGGUCUGGACUGGUGUGCAUACACUGGAGAUCAGUUUAUCUGCACUCUUCUUCAUUUUUAUGGUGCCCAGGAUAUGGUCUGAGCAUUAUAGGCAUGUGGUCUCCAGACUUCUGAUGGCUCUGACUGACAUCCUCUGGAGUUGAUCCUGUCUGUCCACCCAUUGUUUUAAAGCACAGCUGCUACUUGGACAUAG